rnacentral:rRNA from 1 species
AUUGAACGCUGGCGGCAUGCCUUACACAUGCAAGUCGAACGGUAACGCGGGGCAACCUGGCGACGAGUGGCGAACGGGUGAGUAAUGCAUCGGAACGUGCCCAGUAGUGGGGGAUAGCCCGGCGAAAGCCGGAUUAAUACCGCAUACGACCUACGGGUGAAAGGGGGGGAUCGCAAGACCUCUCGCUAUUGGAGCGGCCGAUGUCAGAUUAGGUAGUUGGUGGGGUAAAGGCCUACCAAGCCGACGAUCUGUAGCAGGUCUGAGAGGACGACCAGCCACACUGGGACUGAGACACGGCCCAGACUCCUACGGGAGGCAGCAGUGGGGAAUUUUGGACAAUGGGCGAAAGCCUGAUCCAGCCAUGCCGCGUGCGGGAAGAAGGCCUUCGGGUUGUAAACCGCUUUUGUCAGGGAAGAAAUCUUCUGGGUUAAUACCUCGGGAGGAUGACGGUACCUGAAGAAUAAGCACCGGCUAACUACGUGCCAGCAGCCGCCGUAAAAC